CCUUACUUCCCUACAUGUAUUGCACAAAAACUGCAAGACCUAUAUAACACUAUUCAUCUCAUGUAUAUGUAGGCGAUGAUGAAGACUGUGAUGACAUGAUGGAUGCAUUUACAGCAGUUCCUGAUCCAUAUGAUCGUGUCUACGAGAAUAUACCUGUGAGAAGAUGGAUGAAGCCAGAGCUCGAGGGCCAACAUUGUUAGCAUAGAUGGUUUUGAGCAAACGACUAAAAGAAGAAAGGAGCUCUUUGAGGACUGUUGUGACAUAGAUC